CGGAGGGAUCAUUAAAGAGUUCUAUAACUCCCAAACCCAUGUGAACAUACCUAACGUUGCCUCGGCAGGUCGCACCUACCUUGUAGCACCCUACCCUGUAGGGCCUACCCGGGAGGUGCGGGUAAGCCUGCCGGCGGCCCACCAAACUCUGUUUGAUAUUGAAUUCUGAACCUAUAACUAAAUAAGUUAAAACUUUCAACAACGGAUCUCUUGGUUCUGGCAUCGAUGAAGAACGCAGCGAAAUGCGAUAAGUAAUGUGAAUUGCAGAAUUCAGUGAAUCAUCGAAUCUUUGAACGCAUAUUGCGCCCAUUAGUAUUCUAGUGGGCAGGACCGUUCGAGCGUCAUUUCAACCCUUAAGCCUUCGUUGCUUAGUGUUGGGAGCCUACGGCAACGUAGCUCCUCAAAGUUAGUGGCGGAGUUGGUUCACACUCUAGACGUAGUAAUUUUUUAUCUCGCCUAUUAGUUGGACUAAUCCCCUGCCGUAAAACCCCCAAUUUAUCAAGGUUGACCUCGAAUCGGUUCAGACAAACUCGCUAAAUUGAAGCAUCUUAGUCAGCGAAGGAAAAGAAACCAACAGGGAUUGCCCUAGUAACGGCGAGUGAAGCGGCAACAGCUCAAAU
rnacentral:rRNA from 1 species